rnacentral:misc_RNA from 1 species
UUUCCGUAGGUGAACCUGCGGAAGGAUCAUUCAUAAUAAAGUGUUUUAUGGCACUUUUUAAAAAUCCAUAUCCACCUUGUGUGCAAUGUUAGAUCUCGUCAAUCUUGGCGAGGUUUUUAUACAUCAACUCAUUCUUUAACUAAUUUGUCUGAAAAAUAUUAUGAAUACCUAAUUCAAAAUACAACUUUCAACAACGGAUCUCUUGGCUCUC